rnacentral:snRNA from 1 species
UGAUGUGAGAAUGAUCUCUACAACAUCUGUCACCCCACGAUUCUCAGUGUUGAUUGGGCCCGGCUGGCUGGACAAGGAUUCUAUACUGCUCCCAAAUCCUUGGAUGUCGCCUCCCAAGCCUGCACAUAGGAGAUGAGAAGGCAUGAUUCUAGGGAGAGAAUAUCUGAUUUUUGGUAAGAGACAUGAAUGAAGCUAGCUCUCCUGCUACAUACUUUAAGCAUGCUAACAGGUUCCUCUUGUCAUUGCGCUGUGAUGACUAAGAAAGUGGUAGGUCUUUUAUUUAUAUUUGUUAAGAAUUUUUCUUGACUCUCUACUCAAGGAUGAGUUGCUGA